rnacentral:rRNA from 1 species
GAUUUCUGGUUUGACGUACCUGUCCCGCUGCGGUAACGCAUGUGUGUGACGGUGUAUGUCUGCCAUCCUUCUAGAGAAUGCAAGCUAUCCUUUACUGGAAUGGUUUGUAUCAUCUAGAUCUUUUACUUUGAAAAAAUUAGAGUGUUUCAAGCAGGCGUUUUGCUAUGAAUACAUUAGCAUGGAAUAAUGAGUUAGGACUUCGGUUCUAUUUUGUUGGUUUCUAGGACUGAAGUAAUGAUUGAUAGGGAUAGUUGGGGGUGCUAGUAUUCAGCGGCCAGAGGUGAAAUUCUUGGAUUCGCUGAAGACUAACUUAUGCGAAAGCAUU